rnacentral:rRNA from 1 species
ACGAACGCUGGCGGCGUGCCUAAUACAUGCAAGUCGAACGCGUCUACGUUAAUGAAAUCAAUGUGCUUGCACGGCGAUGGAUUUAACAUUAGACGAGUGGCGAACUGGUGAGUAACACGUGGGUAACCUGCCCUCAAGCAGGGGAUAACACUUGGAAACAGGUGCUAAUACCGUAUAACAACAAAAACCGCAUGGUUUUUGUUUGAAAGAUGGUUUCGGCUAUCACUUGAGGAUGGACCCGCGGCGUAUUAGCUAGUUGGUGAGGUAAUGGCUCACCAAGGCAAUGAUACGUAGCCGACCUGAGAGGGUAAUCGGCCACAUUGGGACUGAGACACGGCCCAAACUCCUACGGGAGGCAGCAGUAGGGAAUCUUCCACAAUGGACGAAAGUCUGAUGGAGCGACGCCGCGUGAGCGAAGAAGUAUUUCGGUAUGUAAAGCUCUAUCAGCAGGGAAGAAAAUGACGGUACCUGACUAAGAAGCCCCGGCUAACUACGUGCCAGCCGCCGCAGUAAGAC